rnacentral:rRNA from 1 species
UACGUAGGGAGCAAGCGUUGUUCGGAAUCAUUGGGCGUAAAGGGCGCGUAGGUGGUUCUGUGUGUCUACCGUGAAAGCGUACGGCUCAACCGUAUUUUGUCGGUAGAAACUGCAGGACUUGAGGCUGGGAGGGGCUGGUGGAAUUCCCUGUGUAGCGGUGAAAUGCGUAGAGAUGGGGGAGAACACUCGUGGCGAAGGCGGCCAGCUAGACCAGUUCUGACACUGAGGCGCGACAGCGUGGGGAGCAAACAGG